rfam:Myotis davidii contig55854, whole genome shotgun sequence.
GGUGGUUCUCAGGUGACACACCCGGAAUCAGCCUCCCUCCUCUCUGGUUCCGGGUGUAUCAUCUGAGAACCGCC